rnacentral:rRNA from 1 species
AUUGAACGCUGGCGGCAGGCCUAACACAUGCAAGUCGAGCGGAUGAAGGGAGCUUGCUCCUGGAUUCAGCGGCGGACGGGUGAGUAAUGCCUAGGAAUCUGCCUGGUAGUGGGGGAUAACGUCCGGAAACGGGCGCUAAUACCGCAUACGUCCUGAGGGAGAAAGUGGGGGAUCUUCGGACCUCACGCUAUCAGAUGAGCCUAGGUCGGAUUAGCUAGUUGGUGGGGUAAAGGCCUACCAAGGCGACGAUCCGUAACUGGUCUGAGAGGAUGAUCAGUCAAACGGGAAUGGAAAAAGGGUCCAAACCCCUACGGGAGGAAGAAGGGGGGAAAAUGGGAAAAUGGGGGAAAGCCGAAUCAAGCCAGGCCGGGGGGGGGAAGAAGGUCUUCGGAUUGUAAAGCACCUUAAGUGGGGAGAAAGGGAAGAAAGUUAAAACCUUGCUGUUUGGAGGUAACAAAAAAAAAAAGCACCGGCAAACUUGGU